rnacentral:rRNA from 1 species
UACGGAGGGUGCAAACGUUGCUCGGAAUCAUUGGGCGUAAAGCGCACGUAGGCGGCCUGUUAAGUCGGAUGUGAAAGCCCCGGGCUCAACCCGGGAAGUGCAUUCGAAACUGGCGGGCUUGAAUAUGGAAGAGGGUCGCGGAAUUCCCGGUGUAGAGGUGAAAUUCGUAGAUAUCAGGAGGAACACCGGUGGCGAAGGCGGGUCUCUGGGCCGAUACUGACGCUGAGGAGCGAAAGCGUGGGGAGCGAACAGG